UCUCUCUCGCGAUGCUCUCUCACUCUCCUGCGCCUCACUCUCCGUCUCACUCUCUCUUCGUCUCACUCUCUCUUCAUCUCACUCUCUCUAACAACUACUUCCAGAAAGAUUCAAGCCAAAAGAAUCUCACCUUCGGUUGCGGCUACGGUGAUGAUGGAGUUUAAAGCUUCACUAUUUCGCCUCCCUCUUCCAGAUUAGGGUUCAGAUUGAUGCUCAAAGGUUCCAAAGGAGAAAGUUCCAGGGUUGCUUUUUGAUGCUCAGAGAUGAUUGCCCUGUUUGAUCAUUGGACUCGGAAAGUGAAAAUUUUGAACAUCUGUUUCGAUUCUUUGCACGACCCUGUUGGUGCGACUUCAAUGGGAAUUUGCUGCACUUCCUGUUGUUUUAGCUCAAGGAAAACAUCACCCAGUACAUUUGCCACAACCUCUGAAUGCUCAUGGUUCCAUCUUUGAGUUUGGAAAAUGACAAUGAAAUUUCUUCUCUAGAAUGCUUCUGCACUAGCAACUGUACUCCUGAUUCAGCACUGACUCGAAUGCACAAUCCUCAAAGCCUCUUUGUGUUCGUCACAGUUUGAACAUGGGAAGUAAGAAAAUACCAAAGACAAGCAUGAAACAUCGAAAAUUUGCGGUAUUGUGCAAGUUAAUCAUCUUGGUCAUUCAAAUUGAAUCUUCAUUGUUUUCUGCAGGUUAAUGGCUUGGAACUGGAAAUUUGCAUCUGCUGUAGAAGAUUUUGCACAAACACAGUCAUAUCCGCGGUGCAUUGUUUAUUCGUCGGCACUCGCUGCUUCAGCGGAUCAAACACUGUAUACUGAAUUGCAGUCAUUGAGGUCAGAAGCAGGGAAACGCUAAGGCCGUCGAAUAUAUCACUCCAUGAGCCCUCGGUACAGCCUUUUGCAAUACCAACAUCGUAAAUGAAAGUCUAUCUAUGACAGAUAUAAUAUACAAAAACUGCUGAGCUGCUCCAAUAGCAAAAACAACACCCCAGAAAAACUGGUGAGCCCAAAAACACAAAACACUGAUGACAGCAAGAUAAGUGGUAAGAAUGUGGACAGACACCUUCAUCAUCUGGAUAGCACGCGAACCCAACAACAACAACCAACUCCAUCCAAGGGCAGUCCCAACACCGCCGGCAACAGCAUAGAGUGGCCAGUAAUCAUCUGUCAAACCAACCUGAUCCUCCAUGAAGCGGUGGUUUUGGAGAGGGUUCUAAUGCUCUAUCGGCAUCAUUGGAAGUACGUGGAAUCAAGGAGUCCCACUUGCAUAUGAUGCUACAAAGAAUUGAGAUAUCCUUCAAAGAAUUAAGAUUGCAGCAAUUAUGUUUACUGUCCUACUUCUGUCUGUAUGGUUAAUUUGAACACAUCCAUGGCCUCAACAUCUUUUACGGUUCAGCUUGGGAGAAAUGAAGUUGAGAACGAAGAUGCGUAUAUGAGAUAUUGGGACCAUUUACUUGUGCACGGUGUGACUGUAUAUGAGACGAUGAACUACAAGAUGUCUGUGCAGCAAGAUAACUUGGUUGUAGUAGUGCUUAUGAGUGAGGGUGCUGUUGUGGAUCCUGAAAAGGUUGGAAUGUUUGAGAAGAGUACAGAGGCCCGCUUGGUAUAUGUGCUGUUUGUGAAGGGCUUGCACCUUUGAUUGAUGAAUAUGAUGAUUUCUAUAAAUGAUGAUCUUGAUGUAAUUUGAAAACCAUAAUCAUAUUUGUGAAA